rnacentral:rRNA from 1 species
AUGGAGGAAGGUGGGGAUGACGUCAAGUCAUCAUGGCCCUUAUGUCCAGGGCGACACACGUGCUACAAUGGCCGGCACAACGGGUUGCCAAGCCGCGAGGUGGAGCUAAUCCCAUAAAACCGAUCGUAGUCCGGAUCGCAGUCUGCAACUCGACUGCGUGAAGUCGGAAUCGCUAGUAAUCGUGAAUCAGAAUGUCACGGUGAAUACGUUCCCGGGCCUU